AUUGAACGCUGGCGGCAUGCCUUACACAUGCAAGUCGAACGGCAGCAUGGAGAGCUUGCUCUCUGAUGGCGAGUGGCGAACGGGUGAGUAAUGCAUCGGAACGUACCGUGUAAUGGGGGAUAACGUAGCGAAAGUUACGCUAAUACCGCAUACGACCUGAGGGUGAAAGCAGGGGAUCGCAAGACCUCGCGUUAUACGAGCGGCCGAUGUCAGAUUAGCUAGUUGGUGAGGUAAAGGCUCACCAAGUCGACGAUCUGUAGCGGGUCUGAGAGGAUGAUCCGCAACACUGGGACUGAGACACGGCCCAGACUCCUACUGGAGGCAGCAGUGGGGAAUUUUGGACAAUGGGGGCAACCCUGAUCCAGCCAUGCCGCGUGAGUGAAGAAGGCCUUCGGGUUGUAAAGCUCUUUCGGCCGGGAAGAAAUCGCACAGGCUAAUACUCUGUGUGGAUGACGGUACCGGCAUAAGAAGCACCGGCUAACUACGUGCCAGCCGCCGCAGUAA
rnacentral:rRNA from 1 species